rnacentral:rRNA from 1 species
CCUACGGGAGGCAGCAGUGGGGAAUAUUGCACAAUGGGGGAAACCCUGAUGCAGCGACGCCGCGUGAGUGAAGAAGUAAUUCGUUAUGUAAAGCUCUAUCAGCAGGGAAGAAAAUGACGGUACCUGAGUAAGAAGCCCCGGCUAACUACGUGCCAGCAGCCGCGGUAAGACGUAGGGGGCAAGCGUUAUCCGGAUUUACUGGGUGUAAAGGGAGCGUAGACGGCAGUGCAAGUCUGGAGGGAAAGGCGGGGGCUCAACCCCCGGACUGCUCUGGAAACUGUACGGCUGGAGUGCAGGAGAGGUAAGUGGAAUUCCUGGUGUAGCGGUGAAAUGCGUAGAUAUUAGGAGGAACACCAGUGGCGAAGGCGGCUUACUGGACUGUAACUGACGUUGAGGCUCGAAAGCGUGGGGAGCAAACAGGAUUAGAUACCCCAGUAGUC